AUGGGGGGUGGACUCGGGAGAGAAUAGAGGGCAAGAGGGAUUCAGUAUGUGAGAUGGGUCGGAGUAAACAUUUAUUGACAUAUGACUAUAUGAGAUUAAGCACUAACAAUUAUUUUUAUCAGAUUUAUGCCUAACUAAUAAUACAAAUUAAUUGUUAUAUGCUGUGUAUUAAUUGAGAUUGCUUAGGUUUCUCAUGAGAAAAAUUUGUUACAAACCUCCUAAAAAAAGAAGGAAGAUAUAUAAGGAUUAUUUUGGGUUGAGGGGAUAUGGUGGUAAUGCACCAAAGGAUAAUUAGAGUUAUUUUUAGAAUAGUAGAAUAUUUACUUGU
rnacentral:lncRNA from 1 species